rnacentral:rRNA from 1 species
UACAGAGGUCCCAAGCGUUGUUCAGAUUCAUUGGGCGUAAAGGGUGCGUAGGCGGCGCGGUAAGUCGGGUGUGAAAUCUCGGGGCUUAACUCCGAAACUGCAUUCGAUACUGUCGUGCUUGAGGACUGGAGAGGAGACUGGAAUUUACGGUGUAGCGGUGAAAUGCGUAGAUAUCGUAAGGAAGACCAGUGGCGAAGGCGGGUCUCUGGACAGUUCCUGACGCUGAGGCACGAAGGCCAGGGGAGCAAACGGG